CCUUCCCGCUCCCUCCCAUUCUGAAAAAUAAAAAUGUUUCAUAUUCUCUCUUUCUUCUCUACUUCACCACCACUGAAUUCAGAUUUCCUGCUUCACCACCACUGCUACUGCACCUCUCUCCGCGCUCUGCCUCCCGUGAGUCUGAGUUGGUGACCUCGCCUAACUCGCCGAGUCACUUGCUCCCAAUUCCUUCACUCUCUUCAUUUCCUCUACUAACCCUAACUUACCCCUUCUAUUUCUACAAUCCAAUUUCCUUUUUAUUUUCUUUUAGAUUUUCAAAAUGGUGUCUCAGUCUUUGCCUUCCUUGGACACUUCCGUCCCAUCGCCGUUAGAGAAAGAUUCCUCGCCCAAGGACGUCGUAAAUGUGCACCACCCUUGUUGUUUUCUCUCAAUCUCUAGAGAAGGCUUUUCAUAUCGAAAUUCUAAGCUCGGGCUUAUUUGGAUUUAUGGAGUUUGUUUAAAUUUAUCUAAUUCCGCUUUAGAUUUUUCAUUUUUGCAGCAGUUUCUUGAAAUUUUUAUACCGGAAAAUGCUGCAGUUUCGAUGAUUUCAGGAUCUCUUCAGUACUGCUUUGGUGAUUGAAUCUCCCAGGUGUGGAGGGGCUUUCAGAAUUUUAUGAAGUAUGUAAAAAACUUGAUAUUGGGCGUGGCGAUUGGCAUAUUAAGAUAGAGCAGCCCCCCUGCAUCCUUUCUACAAGCAAUGGAAGAUUAUGUAAGUGAAACUCCACAGGCUUCAACUGUGCGUAAAGAUCAGAUUGAAAACCCAAAAGAAGUGUUGGUCGUUGAGUGCAAGAAAACCCCAGAGGUGCAGCAAUGUUCACCACCUCCUCUGCCUAAACCAGAAGAAGCGGAGAAAGUGGAAGAGCCUAUGGUUGAACCGCCUAAUUUGUUGAUAAUGUAGUAGUCUUUUUUUAUGGUUUCAUCUGCAACUUUUGCAGUUUCAUGCUGGUUGAUGGGAAGGGUCCUCACACUCUAGGAGUCAAUCUGAUGUUGUAAGGAUGUUAAGCCCCGCCUUUGGAGAUCCGAUAUAGGAGAAAGUGAUGGUAUCUGGGUUAAGGAGAACUUUGUCAAGCAAGAAAGAUUACAACUGAUGAUUUGCUCUAAGUGGCACAUAUCGAAGAAAGGGGUAUGCUAGAUAAUAAGGACAGAAGUCUAGAAACAUGGACACGAGUGGCUAUAAAUGAAGCAGCAAUGGUUGUUGUAGUUGUGAACUUCCCUGAUCUCAGAAACUUCGAAUUCACUUCUUGUUUGCGUUUGGUUGAAGUAGAAGUCCGCGCAAGGAGUCUUCUUGGUGAACCGGAGCUUGGGGAUUUUUUACUUCCUUUCCCCACGAAAGAGCAAUGAAGACUAAAUUCUAGUGAACAAUAUUUUUUAAUUGGAAGUGAAAGAACGUAGACUAAAUUCUAUAG